rnacentral:rRNA from 1 species
UACGUAGGUGGCAAGCGUUAGGCGGAAUCACUGGGCUUAAAGCGUGUGUAGGCGGAUUUGUAAGUACCUUGUGAAAUCCCAUGGCUCAACCAUGGAACUGCUCGGUAUACUGCGAAUCUUGAGCCACUUAGGGGCUACCGGAACAAAUGGUGGAGCGGUGAAAUGCGUAGAUAUCAUUUGGAACGCCAAUGGUGAAAACAGGUAGCUGGGAGUGUGCUGACGCUGAGACACGAAAGCCAGGGGAGCGAACGGG